rnacentral:rRNA from 1 species
AAUAGAUACCCGGGUAGUCCACGCCGUAAACGAUGGAUACUAGCUGUUGGAGGUAUCGACCCCUUCAGUAGCGAAGCUAACGCGUUAAGUAUCCCGCCUGUGGAGUACGGUCGCAAGACUAAAACAUAAAGGAAUUGACGGGGACCCGCACAAGCGGUGGAUCGUGUUCUUUAAUUCGAUGAUAAACGAAGAACCUUACCAGGGUUUGACAUCCUUGGAAUUUCUGUGAAAGCAGAGAGUGCUUUAUUGAGCCAAGUGACAGGUGAUGCAUGGCCGUCGUCAGCUCGUGUCGUGAGAUGUUUGGUUAAGUCCAUCAACGAGCGCAACCCUUGUGAAUAGUUGUAUUUUUCUAUUCAGACUGCCCCGGUAACGGGGAGGAAGGAGGGAUGAUGUCAGGUCAGUAUUUCCCUUACACCCUGGGCUAGAAACACGAUACAAUGACUAGUACAAUGCGCAGCGAAGCCGCGAGGUGGGGCAAAUCGCAUCAAAGCUAGUCCCAGUUCGGAUAAGAGGCUGAAACUCGCCUCUUUGGAGUCGG